UAUUUGCGUCAAAGCCUCACUUGAUGGAAUGGAAUGGAACAAUUCGAUGAGGAAGAUCCCAUUGAUAGGAUCAACGAAAAAAUGGCAGUCAGAAUGCGAAGGAGAAGCGUUGACGCACGCAUCAUUAAUUACAGCGCAUGACUCUCACUCCCUCCUUCCCCCACUCCCACGCAGCUGAGCAAUUGGUUUAAUCUACCCAUCCAAGGAUUUAAACCCAUUCCAUUCCACUCCACUCCACUCUCCGGCGCACACACGCGCACACACACUCUCACACACACACACUUGCAGCUCUCUUAUCAUCCAUCAUUUUACCCGUGCGGUGGUGGGAUGCUACCAGGGUGCUUGGCUCAGUAAAGCCGCAGGCUGCAAGGCUCAAAUCACCCAGAACUUCAAUAUCAUGCUGCUUUGGAUUCCACGCUCCAGCCGAAAUCAGGGCUGUGGUGGUUGCUGUGGUUGGUCUCCAGGUGAGCUGUGUGCACGAGAAAAAACACCAUUGAGUACUUGGUGGAUGGUGCAAGGCACUUGCUGAGCCAGAUCAAGGCUGUGACAAGCUGCACUUUGGAUGCUUGAACCCUCCCUCUUCACGAGAAGGAGAAAGGUCAGGUGGGGGAAAGCGCCCACCGCUUUGUAAGGGAACAAAGAUUUGGUGGCAGAAUAUCUGGAGCCUUUGCGCCCAUCACCUGAUGGAAUCCUAAGAUGCAAAUAGUACUGGACCAUCAACCUCAAUAGGAAUCGGUUGUAGCGUAUUUUUCAAUAGUUUCGGUGUUAUUACUAUUAUUAUUAGUUUCAAAAUAAAAAUUUCGAGUGAAUUGGAAAAAGCUUUUCUGCAGCCGAACUGCGAGUUUGGGUGGUAGUAUGGAGAUUGCAGGAAUUAGCUUUUGGAGGCUACGCUGCAAGUCAAUUCAUGGCUCGUUGUACUGAAAGCUUCUCAUCAGUCCUAGCCAGAAAAAGGCUCACCUCGAAGUUCAAAGGUUGACGAAUCAGGGCCCUUGAUUUAACUGAGACGAUUCCAUCAUCGUCAUUCAGUGCUUGUACCACUUGCCCAGUACUCGAGUCAGGGGUUGCG
rnacentral:lncRNA from 1 species